UACUCGUUCCGUUGAUCCAUC
rnacentral:miRNA from 1 species